rnacentral:sRNA from 1 species
CUCUAUGCGUCAGAGUUUGAUCCUGGCUCAGAUUGAACGCUGGCGGCAUGCCUUACACAUGCAAGUCGAACGGUAACAGGUUAAACUGACGAGUGGCGAACGGGUGAGUAAUAUAUCGGAACGUGCCCAGUCGUGGGGGAUAACUGCUCGAAAGAGCAGCUAAUACCGCAUACGACCUGAGGGUGAAAGCGGGGGAUCGCAAGACCUCGCGCGAUUGGAGCGGCCGAUAUCAGAUUAGGUAGUUGGUGAGGUAAAGGCUCACCAAGCCGACGAUCUGUAGCUGGUCUGAGAGGACGACCAGCCACACUGGGACUGAGACACGGCCCAG